GCAAGCAUGGUGAAUCGGUUCAGGUUUAACUUGCAGAGAUUCUGCGCUUGGAAAAACCGUUUCACCUCCAUCCUUCGAAAGCAGCAAACCUCCGUUAUAAUGUUAAAGGCGAAUGAUAUCAAGGGCAAAUACCUUGACAUCUGAAAGGUACAUCAACACAGUCGCAAUUCUGUUGUUUUUCAUCCCCCCCUCAUGGAAAAAAUAAUCAAAGUGCGACUGGUAUUCUUGACCAAUUUGGUAACGCAGGACUUGAAUGGGCUCCCCGUGAGCCGCAGGUAUUUGAGUCCAUGCCGCAAUUCGUCGCUCAAUUCGUCGGACCACAUCAUUCAUUCCUAAGGGGAAAACUCUGGAUAUGAGCGGUCAAAAAUCAGGAGGUGCUUCGACUACUAGACACCUGUAGGUACAAAUGAUCCUGUUGAUGUGCGAAUAUUGCUAAAGGAACUGCCUCCAUUAGAUGCGUCAACAACGCCAGAUUUAUACAUGUUUGGCCUCGCGUACUCCUCGAAAAAUGGAGCAAACACGUCACAUGAACUGCACGUGAACUUCAGCGCGUUAAACAAAAUCAAAAUGUGGAAAAACCCUCACCACAAGCAAAUCACAUUCACGCUCUGAGAGGAAACCUAUGUGCAUAAAUGCUCGUGGAUUGUCCAGAGAUACGACUUGGAUGUUUCGCGGGUCGAAAUUUUGUGGCACGCCGCCUCUGUCCAGCCGGUUGAGUUCACCUUUAACUUUUG
rnacentral:lncRNA from 1 species